GGAGCGCUCGUGUCGCGACGCGGCUGGAAAAACCCAUUCCCGGCGAGGCUGGGGCUGAGGCACCCGCGCUUCGUCACGGCGUGUUACACAAACACAGCUCGGGUUAAUGGUGUGCUGCAGGCUCGGGGGUGAAAGCAAGGCAGGAGCUGCCCCUUUGCUGUCCCACUGCUGCGGGCACAGUAGAGGUUGCUUUUGUGGUUUGAUUGUCAUACAGUGCUAACUCGCUGGAGAUACAUCUGUCAGCUUCAGAGCAGAAAUUAUUGCAUGAAAAUGGCUCUGCACAGGAGACACCUCCCACUUCCAGCUCUUAUGAAAGAUGUGUUGGCUGUAACAUUUUCUGAGAGAUUUCAGCAGAAAAAGAAAUUACAUCUAAAAUAUAAGGCUGGGAGGGAAACUGGUUAUUAACCAGUCAAAUGACUGGAUAUUUUAACUGCAGGACUUCAGUGCUACAGGAUCCCUUGUAACCUAGAAUAACAUAACAUCCCUUUUACAGAGAACAUAAUGAUAUUUGUAUUUAGUUUAUAGUUUCCAGCUGACAGAGAUCAGAAACCAGGUCUGGCACAUCCCAGGCUAAUGCCUGUUCACUGGGUUGUCCUGAAACAGAGCUCUUUGGGGGGAAUGAUCUCUCUCCAUUUCGAGGUUGUGUGUUUGCUCUGUACUUUUGGAGCUAGGAUUUGAAGCAGCAACUGCUGCUGUAGGAAUAAAAAUGGAGAAACUGAAGGGAUACACACGCAGUGCAAGUUCUGCAAGUGACAGAAUCACAGCCCUGUGGUUGUAAAACCAGUUCUGACCUACUCCCCAGCCACAUCCUAUAAACAAGCUUUACCUGUGCAAUGACAAGGUUUCAGUUCACCUCUGCAGAGGCUGUGUUUUGUAGUUUUUGUUCCCUUCUUGUGCUUGAAAGCUGUACCUUCUCCCCAGAAUGCAUGUGGCAGAACUUGGCCUGUGCAGUGCCCUGCCCAGCCUUCACUGAAAAUUAAUAGAGCAGCUUUGCCUUGAGCCUCAAACUAGCACCAGCUGAAGGACUUUAUGGAUAUAAAUAAGGGCCUGCUUUUGAUAAAGGUAUCUGGUUUUGGCCAUGAUAAUGACUUUUUUCAGCUAUACCUUGAGCUUCAGAGACUACACAAGGGUAAAACAGAACAGGCACUAUGAUAAUUUCAUAGGAAGUUCAGUCCAGAAGGGGAACAUAAAACUAUAUAUUAAAUGAACGUGUUGCUAAUGGUCUAGCACUGAUAUUUCACACUGAAUUUAAAUUAUUUACUGCUCCAAAUAGUAACAAGCAAUCUAUUCCACAUCAUUUCAGAUGCAAUUUACUUGCAUUCUAGCCCAUCUCUGCAAAGUCAUAGUGACUAGGCUUUGCAAAGAAGCGUGGGAGCCCUUGAGCCCUGCAAAGGCCUGGGCAGUGACCCUCUGCAUUCCUUAAUUGUAUAACACAUCUAAAUGCUGGAUCUACUGAAAAGCAAUUACUGCAACUUCCUUGUUACUGCAAAUAUCAUUAGAUGGAAGAGAAUCUGUAGACUUUUUUUGAAAAGACAAAAUUUCAUAGCAAAUUACUAUUACUCAGGCAUUUUAACACAGAAGUACCUAGUGACAUCCUAUGGAGGCCCAAGGGCCUAUGACUAAAAUCCUCCUCCCUUGACCCUGGAGAGGCAGUAACAGAGAGGUUGGGGUGAGACAAGGCCUCUCUCCCACAGGUCUUCUCAACUCUAGGAUAAUGUAUUAGGUUUGUUCCCCCGUUGGUUUAUCAAGUUGAUGUCACCCCAGUUCACCCCUGUUCACCUUAUUUGUAAGUUCCCUAGAGUGUUCUCCCUUCCCUCAAUCCCCCUUGGCCCCAGUUUGCUGCACUGUUCCACCACCAUUACCCUCUUGGUCCCCCGAGUUGGUUGCCCCUCCUAUGCACCACUUUUACCCAUCCCCAUGGGACCCUGACCCUCAGAUCCACCCCCUCUUGCCCCAUAUAUAAUCCUAGACCCUCAGCCUGUCUUUGUCUUUGUCCCUAGACCCUUUCAAAGAUUAAACCUUUUCGGAUUUCCACACAAAGACCCAGACCCUUCCCUUUAUUACUCAUCAGCUUUUAUUUAAGCUGUGCAUUCCGGCCCCAGAAGCGCAGGUCGCUCUUCAGAGAUUCAUUGUGGCAUGCACCACAACACAAUUGCUGUUUUCCUCCAGCUUUAAAAUACAGGUGUUGCAAGCAGACAAACAACUGAUUGUUUUAAGGACGAAAAUAACUAUCAACAGUUAUAGAAAAAAUUAGGUUACUUGUAUUCUCCUGUCUGAAUAGUCUCCUUAGGCUGCAAGAGCUGACUAAACUUGUCAAUCUAACAAAUGUAAUAGUGCUGGUAGCAAAAGAACUCUUGGAAUUCAGCAGAUACAAGCAGAAGGGACAUGAUAAGAAUCAAGGGGACAAUGCCAAGAGAAAAAGUUACGUGAGAAGGUGGCCAGCCCAGCCACAAUGGAACCCAAGAAAUCAAGGGAAAUCAAGAGUCCACCAACCAGAGUAACGUGUUUGACUUGGACUGGGUGAUGAGUGUCAGGGGUAUAACUGAGAGGUGUGAGUUGGGGUAGGGGCCCCUCUCCAGAGGCACCAGUUCUAGCUGUAACCAAAGAACAAACAGAAGACUCACUGGAAACAUUUCACUUGGACUUGGCAUUCUUAGUGGGGCCCUAGGGUCAGACACAGUUACUGUGGCUGGUCUGCAUAAAUCUCUAGAAAUUGAUAGAAAUAUAUUAUUUGCUGGUGUGAACUACUUUUCCUCAGCUUAAGAGGUUUAUUUGCAGCACUGCAAUGACCUCCUGAUUUUAGAAAAUUCACUUUCAAACUUACUUUUUUUGUUUAAUUUAUAUCCUAAUGCUAAUUUUCUAUAAGCAGCAGCAAGACAAGCUAUGAGUCAUUUCAAAGAUGACCUUGUACCAGGAAACUAUUACUUAACCAGGAGAAGAACCUGCUCCUUUGUAGGUUAACCAACAGCAAUUGUUUCUCUUCCCAGUUAACUCCAUGUAUUACAAGAUAGCCUUUGCACAAUGUCUCUCAACCACUCCAGUAAGUUUUGAGGUGUCCUUUGUUUAAAUGCCACAAUAUGUCCACAGGCCCUGGCCUCUUGAAAGGGGAACAAAAAAAGGAAAAUCCAAAGCUACCAUCGUAAAUUUGAUUUGUCAUCAGUUUUUCUCAAUCAGGAGAAAGUACAGUGCCGUAUAUUGAACUUCACACAGGGAAAGAAAUGAAAGAAUUUACUGCUGUUUCUUUUCUCAGAGUAGACAGAUCAUCUAUCAGUCUCCAAACAGUCAUGUGUUUCUGUAGGACUUUUUUUUUAUCUUGUGAAGAAUGUGGGAAAUACUCUCUUUAAGUAGAAAGUGUUGGUGGAAAAAACAUCCCACGCAUUUAGAUGCCUGCAAGCUGUAAGACAGGAAGGAAGCACCUGAGCAGAUUGGUGGCAGAUGCUUCCCAGACCUGUCCAAGCCCACCUGCCCCAGAACUGUUGUGUGGUUCCAGCAGUGCAGGGUCAGCCCCCCUAAGCCCAUGCCAGCCUUCCACAGAACAGCUCACAGGAUCGGCACCUGCUCUGCUACAGCUAUCCCAGUUUCCAGAAUUCAAGAAGGAAAUUCAAAACACUCCAUCUCCUCCCUCCACCAAGUCUUCAGGGCUCCUGAACUGGGAAGGGCCAGGCUGGACACAGUCCUUCUGCUCAGAUUUAACCCAAAUGUUCAGGGUGAAGAAAAAAAAAUCAUGAAAUGGCCAAUUAGUCAUUCUUAAUAGGAGAAGCAAAUUCCCUAUACAGCUUUGUCCUUCAUACUUCAGUAAUCAUUCCAGAGUCAUUAGAAUAAUGAUAACGUGGGAGACAAGAAAUAUUCAUACAGCAGGAGAGGUGCCUCCCUGAGGAGCAACAAGCCACCACCUCUGUUUUUUUUGGUGUAUUUCUGUCACUUGUACACAUUUUAAUCCAGAUUCAGAGUCUAUGAGGAUGCUUAUUUCCUUCCCCUCCAAGAACUAUAGAAGACUUAGCAAAAAACCCAAAAGAAUAAAAAUUCAGGAAUGGAAGCCACUUAGAAAACUCAAGGGAUUUUAAUGACUGAAUGAAUAAGGAACUACUUAUUAUUUUUAAGUAGCAAACAAGUAUUUUGCUAUCAAAUCACAAGCUAAAGAAUUUAAAGAAGCCAUAAACAUUAGUAAGCCAAACAUACAGAACUUGGGAGUAAGAAGGCAUUUUACACACAAGAGUUUAUCAACACAAAACUGUUUAAUAUUUAUUAAAUGACACAAAAUACCUAGAUAACAGACUCACUCUCUGAAAGGACAUGUAUUUACAUUAUUUACCAACUUAAGAAAGACUCUCUGUACCCAUAUUAGACUUAUGAAACAUAAAAAAGGUUUUGCUGCUUUUUGCAUCGAAGGAUGCAAUGGUGAUACAUGCCCUGUUUGCAAGUCUGCAUAAACUAUAAGUUUUUGAUGUUGUGAAAAAGCACAAUUUCGUAUUCUGGUAGCUGAGGGAAGAGGCUUCUGAAAAGUAACAGGGUUAGUUUUCCCCCCCCCACUCCAGACACACUCUCAAGACUGUUAUACAAAAAGUAUAUUACAUUUUUGAAUGCUGCUGUACUCUUACAAUUUUAGUGUAACAUUUCAAAUAAAAUGUUCUUCCUACUAUAUGAGAGCACUAAAAAAAGUGGUAUUUGAACAUUUCUUUAGAUGCACUUUUUUGUUUUAAAAGAAAGCAUUAGGGCAAAUGAUAUGUCUAGGAAAAAAUGAAAGGCUGACAAAAAAAAAAAAAGCUGAGACCAAAAUAUGAAGAACAGCUAAAGCAACUUAACAAUUUGCUAGGGUUUGUUUUUGUUUUUUUUUUAUUAACUAUUUACUUUGGCACCUUCGUGUAAACUAUAGAACAAAACAACGUUUACAACACAUUUGCAAUUACAGCAUUUAAACAAAAUGGUCACUUUUGAAACCAGCCAAGACAAAAAAAUAGUCCAUUUAUGGGUAUAAAGAUUAAAAAACCUAAAAUAUAUAUUUCUAAGAAUAAACUGCAAUUUCUUAUGAACAAGGUGCUAUAAACUGCAUGCAAGAGUCAAGAUUAAAAAUGUGCGGCCAAAAAGACAAGCUGUGUUCUAGCCAGAUGAGUUGUGGUCCAAGCCCAUUUCAGUUUUUUCUUACAGAGAUAUAUAUGGCUCAAGAAGCAGGCACAUGAUCCCAGCAAGAAUUUGCGGAGUUGUACGACGACGUAUCUUGGCUGCAGCUUUGUCAUUAACCAGGAAUGAGCGAGACCUUAGCAGAAGAGAUGAACAAAUUCUUGGGGAAAACCCAUGAAGGAGAAGCCUUCUCCCCUCCUCUCGCUCACCCUUCUCCUGGUCUAGCCAGGGUUCUCAAAGUCCAUUCUUUGGGUUGCUUUAACUGGAUUGCGCUUGGGGUCUGCCUCAGAUUGUGAAUUGUGAUGAAAUUUGAGGACAUUUUCUGUAUCAUAUUUUCUGCAUUAAAGUUACUGAAAUAGACAGGAUAAAAACUAAAUAAACCUACAGUCCUUUGCAGAUAAUUUGACUGAACGGGACACUGGUGUAAUGAGGGAGGAUUUUACCAUAACAGGUGUUCACACUACAGGUGUGCUACAACAGACUGAAUGGAACCAGCUCAAUAAAUCAGCUCCUGUCUCCUGAAGAGUUAAGUCUUACGCUUCUUCUCCAAAUAUCUUUAAAAGGAAUCUUUUAUUGGCUGAAGAUACAAAACAUAAAAGAAAAGGAACACUGAAUACGAAACACAGAAGUUUUUUUUUAAAAAUGGUGGAGGGCAUUCUUUUCUCCCCAGUAGAUCUCUAUUUGAACUAAUACUUGAAGAUUUGCAGGAGGAGUCUUCAAGGUUCUUACCACAUAACUCUACUGUCAGUAUUUGUCUCACAGAGGCAGGGGUGGCCCUGGAUGUCUACCAGUGGUUAUGCUGCAAUAGUGUCAAGGGGCAAGGUAGAUUUUCUGCAGAUCACAAAGAGCUGUAUGGGUGACUGCAAAUAAUUUAGUAGGAAAAAACCACCCACAUUUGUUUCAUCUAUCAGCUGAGGACUGCAUACAAAAGAGCCUGAGAGAAAACAUGGCUGGAGAAUAUAGGGAAUUAAACAGUAGACAAAAAAAAAAGCACUAAGGAUGGCAUGUGUCAGAUAGAAAACACACACACACACUCUCACACAUGCGCACCCCUGAAUGUGGGAUCACAGUGAUAGAAGUUAUAGGUCAUAGAGAGCUAAGUUACACUGCCAUUAAACAAAAAUAACAUCUUGCUUUCAAGACAUAUCGGGUAUUCCCCAGGACUAUCAGUGCCUGAAAGAGGAUGAGGUUUUUCAUUGUGCUCUGCAACACAGCUGAUCAUAGGUCUAAAGCCUGGCUGGGUAAGGAAGAACUGGUACAUGGAGAAGUUCCUUUUCUGUUGACACCUUUUUUUUCCAUAUAUACCUGGCACAUGCUGCUAUAAGCAAUAAAAAAUGUAUUUUAUUGAAACAAAGCUCUACAUUCAAGUGACUUACUCUCCCAUGUCUUAUAAAGAUGCAAAGAAUGCUCUCUGGUCAUCUAAGAAAAUAUAUUUUAGAUGCCUUGUAGCAAUACUUAACUUACUAUAUGAGAGGUAGGCUUCUGGGUUCUAGGAGGCCUGCUAGGCUCUAGGGCUGAGUUCUUAAAGCUUUAAGUUAAAGCAAUCCAAAGCAGGGCAAUCUUAGAAGAGCUGCCCUGUCUAAACCUUGAGGUUAGUUCAAGUUUAGAAUGUUGCAAAGCAAAACAAGUAUUAAAAUCCAUUUGCAAUUUUUGUUCCUACAGCUUUACCACAACAACAGUGUGGCUUUUUCAUCUGUUAAUAGAUUCUCUUUAUUCUAGAGUAUUGCUGCCAAGAGGUGAAGGCCUCCUACCCAUGACUAGUAAAAACUGUCACUUCUUCCAUUAUGGCUGUUUAAUGCUUAAAAUUCCCAAAGGUGAACACCAAGUCUCACAGGCAAGCCAUAUAAAUCUAAUCUGAACUUGUUUUGUUGUAGCAGUUAUUUAAGAAUGGUGUUUGUAUAUACAGUAUAUAUGCCCACACUGCAAACUUUAUACAUUGUUUUAUAUUGGCACCAUUUUGUCUUAAUUGCAACCAAGAAUAUUUUCCAUUAGAUCAGCAAUAAGGAUAGCUUGGCUUAUUCCUCAUUUUCCCCGCUCAAGAGAAAAAAAUCCAAGUGUGGGCAUCAACCAAACCAAUGAUGUGAAAGAUAUCUGUCAUGUAUCAAGGGACUCCUCUUCAGACCCAGAGAAAAUGGAAUCAGAAAGGCCAGGUACUUUCUUUCAGCUUUCUGCACAUCUUACUAAAUAACAUGCAAAGAGUUCAACAGCAUUCUUCUUAAAAUGUAAAUAGUACUCUUUAAAUGGGCAUGUUAACCACUGAAAGAAGUCCACUCUACUAUACUUUUCCAUUACACUGCUUUCAUUCAAUCAUCGGUAGUAUAAAAAGUCAAUUAACGGGAUCAACAGGCUAGUUUAUCCACUGGCAACUGUGUAGGACACCAAGUGUGCA